UACGUAGGGGGCAAGCGUUGUCCGGAUUUAUUGGGCGUAAAGAGCGUGUAGGCGGCCUGGUAGGUCAGCUGUGAAAACUCGAGGCUCAACCUCGAGACGCCGAUGGAAACCAUCUGGCUAGAGUCCGGAAGAGGAGAGUGGAAUUCCUGGUGUAGCGGUGGAAUGCGCAGAUAUCAGGAGGAACACCGAUAGCGAAGGCAGCUCGCUGGGACGGUACUGACGCUGAGACGCGAAAGCGUGGGGAGCGAACAGG
rnacentral:rRNA from 1 species